CCCUUCUAUGUCCUGGGCCGCACGCGCGCUACACUGAUGCAUUCAACGAGUGUACCUUGGCCGAGAGGCCUGGGCAAUCUUUUGAACGUGCAUCGUGAUGGGGAUAGAUUAUUGCAAUUAUUAAUCUUGAACGAGGAAUUCCUAGUAAACGCAGAUCAUCAAUCUGCAUUGAUUACGUCCCUGCCCUUUGUACACACCGCCGGUCGCACCUACCGAUUGGAUGGUCCGGUGAAGCCUCGGGAUUGUGGCGGUUGCCUUUAUUGGUGGCCGCCGCGAGAACUUGUCUAAACCUUAUCAUCUAGAGGAAGGUGAAGUCGUAACA
rnacentral:rRNA from 1 species